rnacentral:misc_RNA from 1 species
UGCUCGUGGGUGUGGGAGAUGAAGAGGACCUCGUAGAUGACGCCGGCGAGGCCACCGCCGAUGAGUGGGCCAACCCAGUACACCCACUGGGACUCCCAGGACCAGCUGACGAGGGCCGGGCCGAAGGAGACGGCCGGGUUCAUGGAGGCGCCGUCGAACGCGCCGCCGACGAGGAUGUUCGCGCCGACGAUGAAGCCGAUGGCG